UGGACCCGUACGACAGGUGCUGCAUGGCUGUCGUCAGCUCGUGUCGUGAGAUGUGGGUUAAGUCCCGCAACGAGCGCAACCCUCGCCCUUAGUUGCCAGCAUUCAGUUGGGCACUCUAAGGGGACUGCCGGUGAUAAGGCCGAGAGGAAGGUGGGGAUGACGUCAAGUCCUCAUGGCCCUUACGGGGCUGGGCUACACACGUGCUACAAUGGUGGUGACAGUGGGCAGCGAGACCGCGAGGUCGAGCUAAUCUCCAAAAAGCCAUCUCAGUUCGGAUUGCACUCUGCAACUCGAGUGCAUGAAGUUGGAAUCGCUAGUAAUCGCAGAUCAGCAUGCUCGCGGUCCGAAUACGUUCCCGGGCCUU
rnacentral:rRNA from 1 species